AUUGAACGCUGGCGGCAGGCCUAACACAUGCAAGUCGAGCGGAUGAAGGGAGCUUGCUCCUGGAUUCAGCGGCGGACGGGUGAGUAAUGCCUAGGAAUCUGCCUGGUAGUGGGGGAUAACGUCCGGAAACGGGCGCUAAUACCGCAUACGUCCUGAGGGUGAAAGUGGGGGAUCUUCGGACCUCACGCUAUCAGAUGAGCCUAGGUCGGAUUAGCUAGUUGGUGGGGUAAAGGCCUACCAAGGCGACGAUCCGUAACUGGUCUGAGAGGAUGAUCAGUCACACUGGAACUGAGACACGGUCCAGACUCCUACGGGAGGCAGCAGUGGGGAAUAUUGGACAGUGGGCGAAAGCCUGAUCCAGCCAUGCCGCGUGUGUGAAGAAGGUCUUCGGAUUGUAAAGCACUUUAAGUUGGGAGGAAGGGCAGUAAGUUAAUACCUUGCUGUUUUGACGUUACCAACAGAAUAAGCACCGGCUAACUUCGUG
rnacentral:rRNA from 1 species